rnacentral:rRNA from 1 species
GAGUUUGAUCGUGGCUCAGGAUGAACGCUAGCGGCAGGCUUAAUACAUGCAAGUCGUGGGGCAGCAUGGUGUAGCAAUACACUGAUGGCGACCGGCAAACGGGUGCGGAACACGUACACAACCUUCCUUUAAGCGGGGAAUAGCCCAGAGAAAUUUGGAUUAAUACCCCAUAGUAUAUUGAUUAGGCAUCUUAUUAAUAUUAAAGAUUUAUCACUUAAAGAUGGGUGUGCGGCUGAUUAGAUAGUUGGCGGGUAACGGCCACCAAGUCUACGAUCAGUAGCUGAUGUGAGAGCGUGAUCAGCCACACGGGCACUGAGACACGGGCCCGACUCCUACGGGAGGCAGCAGUAAGGAAUAUUGGUCAAUGGGCGAAAGCCUGAACCAGCCAUGCCGCGUGAAAGGAUUAAGGUCCUCUGGAUUGUAAACUUCUUUUAUCUGGGACGAAAAAAGGGAUUCUUACUCACUUGACGGUACCAUAGGAAUAAGC